AUCCUGGAAACUGCCUAGGAGAAGGAUUCUUGCUGCCACAGUAUUUUGUUCUACCUGUACCAUAAGAGCAACUGUUGGAACAAGUGAGUUAGAACUAUGACCAGGUGGAAGAGAACCAUACCAAAACAACCUCUUCCCCAUAAGAGUAUGUCUUGGCACUACUUUUACUAUUCAAAUGUUCAAAAAUGACACAGCCAGAUCCUAACUUGCAUUUAAAACUUGUGCAAAACUGAACCUAACCAGCAAACUUAUGCCAAGGAUUUAUAUUUAAACUUAUCUUCCAGAAACAGCUUGUAAAAACACCAGCUGAGGAAGAGGCACUAGAUAUACAUCAGAAAUACACUAGUGGGUUUUGUACUAAUAUCCUAGAUCCAUUAAAAUAGGAUCACCAACCUUCUCCAAGGAGGAGGACAGCACCAGUUUGGCAUUAAAAAAAGGGCAGAGUCCCUAAAAGAAAUUCUUUUUUUUUUUUUUUAAUAUUUUUUUUUCUUCCCUCGCAGUCAUUCACGACCUUGCCAGGGAAUCUCCUAGAGGAAAUUCAAACAUUUAUUUCAGUUUGAGCUGAUGUAACCAUACCCUGGCACACCUUACCUCAGUGCCUUUCUGUUUGCAGAAAUUGAACCCUGUAGGAGUCUCAAGAGGAAAAAAAUGAAAAGGAGCUAGAUCUUGCUACAUGGGAUUUACCAUGCUCAGCAACAGCAGAAGUUCUUGUAUUCUCAGAUCUUGGCAGUAGAAAGUGGGAUGAGAGAAGAGUCUCAGUUCCAGCAGCAGCUCUGCCCACUGAGGAUGCAGUGAUACAACACUUUGUUCCUCCGCAUUGAUCAGUCUCCUUUUCACCCCAUUAUGAUAUCUCCCUGUAUUUCACACACCAAAUGAUAAAAGAUUUAUAAUUCAGUAUCGUAUCAAGUGCUUUUCUGCAAUCAAUAAGCAUUACUUCUACCAGAAUGCCUCUGUAUAACAAACAUGCAAUUACAGUGAUUUUAAGUAUCAGGUUUGUCUGACCUAAUAUGUUUUAUUAACCUGUGGUUUUUAGCGUUCAUCAGGCUUUUUCACUCUAUAUAUUUACUCAUUAUUUUUAU
rnacentral:lncRNA from 1 species